CUACCUCGCUCCCUCCCUCCCUCUUUUAAAACUCUUUCUUUUCUUUCCCGAUUUGUUCUGGGAGUUGUGUGCAUGAAUAAAUUUCUAUAGCUGGGAGUUGUGUGUGUGAAUAAAUUUCAAUAGCUGAUCACGAGUGAAUGCGGAGAUCAGUUUGGCCAUUCAUCUAGUCUGACAUCCAAGGAAACUGCUGCUGCUUGCCCUUCCUCCUCCAACGAUUCAGACGGACUGCCAUUGCUCACGAUGCUGCAAGUGCAAGCCACGCCUCUGUACCGCCGCUGCCGUCGCACCCUAUCCCAUGCUCAAGAUUGCCGGCCCCCACGUCUCUUGCUCCCAUGGCAAGGCACGGACUGUAGCUGGCGGCGAAGGUUGAGCUCAGCUACAGGAUCUCAGUAUCAUUAUAACCACUCAGAUUUACCCCCCAACAAAUUUGGGCGAAGAAUUGGCGGUACUGGUUGGCGGUGGCGGCAACAUGUUGGGGCUCACAAAGGAAACUGCGGAGGAGGAAUGCUUUCAUUCUGUUUAGUACACGAUGAAGGGGUUUACAUGCCAAAAAAAAGGGUUAUGAUUAUUUAUGCUUGUGUCCUGUCAGCAUCUCUGACUCUUUGUUCCUUGUUCCAAUUUCUUAUGCUUUGUGUUAUGUUUUUCAUUUUGAGUUAUAGACUAUGUAGUAGGCGUGUCAAAAAAGCCCGCACUAGCUCGACUCGGCUCUAAAAUUUGGACUACUUUGGGGCUAGGCUUUAGUCUUUUUGGGUAAGGAUUUUUUUAUGUUGGUAUUAAUAGGAUUGGGGUAGGGUGGGGUUGGGCUGCGCUAGCAUGGGUUUUUUUUUACACCCCUAUAGAGUAUUUGAUUUUACCCCUUCAAUGGAACCAUUUUAUGAAUAUUCGGGUCUCGGGUUGGUCAGGUCGGGUAUCAUGAAAACCUGACCUGGUCCGACCCAAUUCCUUGA